rnacentral:tRNA from 1 species
GAUAAUUUAGCUUGGAUGGUAAAGCGUCUGCCUACAAUGCAGGAGACCUGGGUUCGAUCCCUGGGUCA